rnacentral:rRNA from 1 species
UGAGGAAUAUUGCACAAUGGGCGCAAGCCUGAUGCAGCAACGCCGCGUGCGGGACGAAGGCCUUCGGGUCGUGAACCGCUUUUCUGGGGGAAGAGCAAGGACGGUACCUCAGGAAUAAGUCUCGGCUAACUACGUGCCAGCAGCCGCGGUAAAACGUAGGAGGCGAGCGUUAUCCGGAUUUACUGGGCGUAAAGCGCACGCAGGCGGCUCUGUUAGUCGGACGUGAAAGCUCUCGGCUUAACCGGGAGAGGCCGUUCGAUACUGCGGGGCUUGAGGUAGGGAGAGGAAAAUGGAAUUCCGGGUGUAGUGGUGAAAUGCGUAGAUAUCCGGAGGAACACCAGUGGCGAAAGCGGUUUUCUGGACCAAUUCUGACACUCAGAUGCGAAAGCUAAGGUAGCAAACG